CGCGUGUUUGGAUAGAAGUUAAAAAUUCUUUUCAGAGUGCUGGCAAUUUUUCCCCCACUUUGAUGAAACUGGUAUGGUAUUGGAAUAAAUUAUUUUCAUUUUAUGGAUAAAGAAUCAAUGGAGCAGAAGUUUUAAGUGAACUAAAGCUUUUACACAGAAGGCAAUUCCCAGCACUGACCACUGGAAAGGAACGAGAUGAAGGAUCUUCUGUCUGCAGCUGACAAGGAAUUCAGACAGAGUCCAGCAAGGGCAGCUUGUCUUUGCUCUGCAGCAUCUGGGACCUCAGCUGGAAGAAUCUAAGGCAGGGAACUUGAAUCAUCAUCUGAAGGCUUGUUUCACUUACGUCUGGCAAUUGAUGCUGGCUAUUGGUAGGAACGUGUGGUCUCCCCGUGUGGCCUGGGCUUCCUCACAACAUGGUGGCUGAGUUCCAAGGGUAAGUGCUCUGAGAGCAAGGAAGCCAGAUGGACUCCCUACUGCCUUUAUGACCUAACCUAGGAAGUCAAGCAGUGUCAUUUCUUUCACUUCUAUUGGUUGAGGCACUUACAAAGGUCCAUUUGGCUCAAGGGGAGAGGACAUAGAUUCCCAUCUCUUUUUGAAGGAAUGUCAAUGUCAUAUUUCAAAAGAGCAUAUGGGAUGGAAUAUGUUAAUGCAGUUAUCUUUGGAAAAUGCAAUCUACCCCACAUUGUCUUUUAAUUUUCUUACUCAUUUUUUCAGAUCCCAAAAAUAAC
ensembl:lncRNA